CGCUACCGGGCUAUGCCUACGAUUCCAGGUAUGCCCCACUUCCCCAAGUACUUCCUAAAGUCAGUAAACUGCCACUUCCUAAUUACUGCCCCGCUUAAAAUUAGUUAAAAAAGCUCCUACGCUUCUUUUUUUGACCGCCCUCUGCCACUUUCCUCAGAGGGCUCCUGCUCGAAUUUCUUAUUGCCUUCUUUUAUCAAGAAAAAUACAAAAAUUUUUGUAUCAAAAAAUAUCAU
rnacentral:misc_RNA from 1 species